GAUCACCCCUCUUGGUGUUUUCUGGUGAGCUCAGCCGAAGGGAUGAAAGCAGUGCAUGAUCUUGAUUUCUCUUCCACGCACGUGAUGUUGUAUGCUCUCAGUUCUUCUGUGGAAACAGAUCCUCAGGCUUCUGGAGAUCCUGCUGUUUUGGAUCAUGUCAUUGUUGCUACAUUUCCCAUGGGGUCCAGCUCUGAAUUAUGGGUGCAAGAAAAUCUACUCCUCUGAAUGCCACUUCACUGAAUCCUUUCUUAUGGGGAAAGGAAAGGAGUCACUGUUUUUCUAAGCUUUGCUAUCAGUGACAGCCACUAAACACAGUAGCAUUAUUUUUUUUCAACAUUGUUAGUGAAAAUACACAUUUUCUGUGUUCUAGUAUGAACUUACUUCAUACUAUUCUAACUUCUCUGAUUCUCUGAAGCUCUGGGAAAAGCAUAUAUAAACACAUUGUUUUAUGUU